GCUGGCGGCGUGCUUACACAUGCAAGUCGAACGAUGAACCUCACUUGUGGGGGGAUUAGUGGCGAACGGGUGAGUAACACGUGAGUAACCUGCCCUUAACUCUGGGAUAAGCCUUGGAAACGGGGUCUAAUACCGGAUAUUUACUUCCUGUCGCAUGGUGGGUUGUGGAAAGAUUUAUUGGUUUUGGAUGGACUCGCGGCCUAUCAGCUUGUUGGUGAGGUAAUGGCUUACCAAGGCGACGACGGGUAGCCGGCCUGAGAGGGUGACCGGCCACACUGGGACUGAGACACGGCCCAGACUCCUACGGGAGGCAGCAGUGGGGAAUAUUGCACAAUGGGCGCAAGCCUGAUGCAGCGACGCCGCGUGAGGGAUGAAGGCCUUCGGGUUGUAAACCUCUUUCAGUAGGGAACAAGGCCGGCUUUUGGUUGGUUGAGGGUACCUGCAGAAGAAGCGCCGGCUAACUACGUGCCAGCAGCCGCGGUAAUACGUAGGGCGCAAGCGUUAUCCGGAAUUAUUGGGCGUAAAGAGCUCGUAGGCGGUUUGUCGCGUCUGCCGUGAAAGUCCGGGGCUCAACUCCGGAUCUGCGGUGGGUACGGGCAGACUAGAGUGCAGUAGGGGAGACUGGAAUUCCUGGUGUAGCGGUGAAAUGCGCAGAUAUCAGGAGGAACACCGAUGGCGAAGGCAGGUCUCUGGGCUGUAACUGACGCUGAGGAGCGAAAGCAUGGGGAGCGAACAGGAUUAGAUACCCUGGUAGUCCAUGCCGUAAACGUUGGGCACUAGGUGUGGGGGACAUUCCACGUUUUCCGCGCCGUAGCUAACGCAUUAAGUGCCCCGCCUGGGGAGUACGGCGCAAGGCUAAACUCAAAGGAAUUGACGGGGGCCCGCACAAGCGCGGAGCAUGCGGAUUAAUUCUAUGCAACGC
rnacentral:rRNA from 1 species